rnacentral:ncRNA from 1 species
ACAAUUCGUGCUGCUCUUUCCACUUAAACUUCACUCCAUACACAGUUUCGGACACGGGAAAGAUUGACAGAUUAAGAACUCUUUUUUAAUCCUGUGGGUGCUGGUGCAUGAACGUGCUUAGUUGUGGAGCGAUUUGUGUGGUUAAUUCCGAUAACGAACUUUAGCCUACUAAGUAAAUGCUCCGAUCCUUCAAGUCGGACGUUCUUCUUAGAGGGACAAGCGGAGUUUAGCUCCACGAGACAGAGCAAUAACAGGUCUGUGAUGCCGAUUGAUGUCCGGAUCCGCACGCAUGCUACAUUGAAGCAACCCCUGUCCGACAGGACUGGGUAACUCUUUGAACCUCCUUCGUGCUGGGCAUAAGGGCUUGUAACUGUUUCCCUUGAACGAGGAAUUCUCAGUAAGCACGAGUCAUAAGAUCAUGUUGAUUACGUCCC